rnacentral:rRNA from 1 species
CCUACGGGAGGCAGCAGUGGGGAAUAUUGCACAAUGGGGGAAACCCUGAUGCAGCGACGCCGCGUGAGUGAAGAAGUAAUUCGUUACGUAAAGCUCUAUCAGCAGGGAAGAAAUACUGACCUUACGGUCAGCAGACGGUACCUGAGUAAGAAGCCCCGGCUAACUACGUGCCAGCAGCCGCGGUAAUACGUAGGGGGAAAGCGUUAUCCGGAUUUACGGGGGGUAAAGGGAGCGUAGACGGUGCGCCAAGGCUGGAGUGAAAUGCCGCAGCUUAACUGCGGAACUGCUUUGGAAACUGGCGAACGAGAGUGCGGGAGGGGGAAGCGGAAUUCCUAGUGUAGCGGUGAAAUGCGUAGAGAGUAGGAGGAACACCGGUGGCGAAGGCGGCUUACUGGACCGUAACUGACGUUGAGGCUCGAAAGCGUGGGGAGCAAACAGGAUUAGAUACCCUAGUAGUC